rnacentral:tRNA from 1 species
GAAAAAUUUAGUUAAAGUAUAACAUUAGCUUGUCAAGCUAAAAUUAUUAAUUAUUAAUAAUUUUU